AAACAAAAACACUUUUAAGACGGUCUAUCUACUUAGAUAAAUAUAAAACUUAAUAUAUUGUUAUUAUUAUCAUUACAUUACUACUACUACGAGCGUUAAGACCGACACGUUGCUUUAUUCUACAGGAAACGAUUAAGUGGUCAAGAAUAAUUAAUUGUAAAAAAAAAAAUAUAACACUAAAACACAAGUACAUGCGACAAGUACUGAAGUACAUGUCAUGCUUUUAACCCAAAAAACACAUUACCAAACUUUUAAAAUAUUGCCAAACUUUUUUAAAAUUAAAGAUCAAACUCUAAUCUAAAAGAGAAAUGAUAUUUGUACAACUUUUAGACAACUUUCUCUCUCAUACUCAUAUUAUGUUAUUAUUCUUUCUCUUCCUUUUCCUCUCUCUAUUGUUUUUGACCAAUAACAAAAAAGAACAACAAAGUUGUCCCAAGAAUUGUCAUAAAAUGGUUGUUCAAAUAUCAUUACUCAAUCUAAAACUAAGCAUGCAUGCGACAAGUACAUGCCAUGCUUUUAAUCCGAAAAAAACACCUGUCAUGCUUGAUCAUGACUAAAUACGUUUAAUCUCUUUCCUCUCCUGAUUCCAUUCUUUGUAGAGUGGAUGUGACAUGAAAAACAUAUGAAAUCUUUCAAAAAAAUGAAAAACAUAUGAAAAAGUGAAUGUGACAUGACAAAGAUAUGAAAAUUUGCUCGUAAAUUCUUAAAUUUCUUUAAGUUUGAUUUGAUACCGAUAUCUUUUAGUUAAAAUUUAUUCAAUAUUUGAAUUAUUUAUUUUAAAAUAAAUUUAUAUCAAAAUAUAAAAUGAUAUUGAUUGAUUGAACAAGGGAUGCAUAUCCAACUAAAUUACAUGGAUAUAAAUCAUCAUAUCAUUCUAUACACCAAAUUUGAUUGUCUCAUGCAAAGUAAACCAUAAGGAAGUCUAACCUUAAGGCUAUGUUUGGAUCACAAAAGAGAAUAGAAGGAAAGAUAGUGAAAGGAAAGAAUGGUAAAUGAUUGAAAGUGAGUAGAAAGUGAAUGCAAAGUAAGAUGAUUGUUUUGUUUGGAAUGAAUGAAAGUAAUAAGAAAGUGAAAGGAAAGAAAUAUAUAAAUUUGAUAAAUGACAUAAAUACUCCACAUUAAAAUGAACUAAUAUAUUUUAACUAAAAAAUUAACAGCAGAACAAAAUAAAAUGAUUCAAUAUUUAAAAUAGAAUGGUAAGCAUGUAACAGUUAAAAAGGUCUAAUAUUAAUAUUUAUUAUAUUAAUUAAUUUAUUGGUCCAUUGAUACGUCAAAAAAUAGCACAACCCACCAUUUACAGUAAUGUUAUAUUGGACAUUUCACUGAAUAAUGCUCUUCCGUGCACUUUCUUCACAGUUUUGAGUGGAAACAAAUUUGAUUGUGGACCACACCAAAUUCAAUCUUUCUUUCCUUCAUCAUAGUGAUCCAAACGAAAGAAACUUUCAUUCCUCUAGCAUUUCUUUCCCUCUAUUGUCUGUUGUUGCAAACAGGCCCUAAGACUUUGUUUGGAUGAAGAUAGAAAGUGAAAGGAAAGAAAGUAAAAGGAAAUAAUGUUAGAGGAAAGAAUGUAAGUGAAAAGUGAGAUGAUUAUUUGAUUGUUUGGUAGAAGUUAAAGUAAAAGGAAAGAAAGAGACAUGUUUAAUAAAAGGACUAAAAUAUCACUAGAUUGUGGGGGUUUAUGUAAUUUCAAUUAUAGCAAUGGCUUCUCGCAUUUGGCAAUAUUACUUGCAACACACCCCUUCGUUGUGAGGGGGUGCUUGGAGCUACAGUAAUCAGUUCAAACGAACGGUAACGGUCACCAUCAUGGCUCCCGCGAAUCUCUCCUCGGCGGUUAUACUUCUUACAAAUUCGUAACUGCCGAGUACACGUGUGCCUUACAACGACUCUGCAUUCACCCACCUCUAUAUAAAGGGGACUCUUGGUAGUCCUCAGGGUUGGAAUCUCCUCACUCUAUGAACCCGCAUUCUGUUCUCAGAUCUUUUUCUGUUACACUGUUAAGUGUUUUGACAACAGACCAAGGCUCUAGAUACCAAUUGAAGGUGAGAAAACACAAGAAGGGGGGUUGAAUUGUGUUGGUUUUUUCUUCUUUUUCUCCUAUGCUGAAAACACUGAUCAGAAGCAGAUAGAGUUCUACUUCUAAAGUGACGUUCAGAACUAUAUGCAGCGGAUAAAAAUAGAGAGAGCGAGAUAAGAAAGACACAAAGCAAUUAUACAUGUUCCUUCCACAAACCGGAAGUCAGUUCUGUCCCCCUUGCACUUCCAAGGAGAGUUCACUAUGUAAUACCUGAUUACAAUUGCUCACUGCUAAAACUAGCAAGAGACUUCAAAUGCUCAAGCACAACUGCAAGAGACUUCCUAUGCUCCUGAACACAAUCAAGAGACUUCUAUGCUCAAGCACAACUGCAAGAGACUUCUAAAUUCAAACAGAAUUACAAAGAAAAAUGUUUGAGGUUGAACACUUGAUAUACAAUCAAUGGUGUUCACAAUGCAAAUCAGAUACAGACUCUUAAGACUCUAGAAUUUCUAAGAUAUGAAAGUUGUUAAGAAAUUCUAAGUGAACAUACAGACUCUUAAGACUCUAGAAUUUCUAAGAUAUGAAAGUUGUUAAGAAAUUCUAAGUGAACUUUUGAAUGCAGAACAAUUUCAGCAGAGUUUUGACACUAGUAAAUUGUUGUUGAGUCCUUUAUAUAGAGGUGUGAAAGAGACGUUGUGAAUUGCCAGCACAUCAAAAUAGAGUCGUUUGAAGCUUUGAUCAAUCACCAAUGAUCUUUUGCCUGAUAUGGUUAUUGCCCUCUGAAGGAUCAAUUUCAAAUCCAUUGCUAGUAUGUAGGAACAUUGUUGCAGGCAGAGCUGUUAUCCUUGUCUUGUAGCAGAGACACAAACUGAGUAGUGGAGAUAGUUGUUGUACACUUCGUACAAUUGUACUUUGUCAACGCUCUUCAAAGAACAAACAUCAAAUGUCUUCAAAUCCUUUCAAAAUAGUUGUUCCUUCACUCUUUCAGUCUUCUGCAAUGCUUAGACGAGAUUAAAUUCAUUGAACAACCUUUAAAGCUUUAAGUCUUUCAUCUCCUGAGUAACUAGAGCUUCUGGUGAUCUUCAGCUUCUGAUGAGAUGCUUCUGAUGAACUUGCUUCUGAUGAUGACGUCAUCACUUCAGGAGCACUUUGACUUCAGGAGCACUUCUCUUCAGAUGCUUUAAGCUUCCUUUUUGUUGAUUCUUUUGCUCUCUUUUGUUCUUCCAGAAACUAUUUAAGAUGUCAAAUUUUUGUCUAUGGUCAUGUACACUUGAACAAAUAUUAACAUAUUCAAUUGACAAUUUUUAAUACAUUGUAAUCAUCAAAACUCUCAAAGGAUAAUGUUAAACACAUUUUAUUCCAACAUGAUCAAGUACGAUCAAGUGUCAAAGGAACACUUGUUAACAUUUAUUUUUACUCAAUAUUGUUUAAAAAUCGUGCCAACAAUUAUAUAUAACAACGUUUUUUUAAGGGGAAUUGUAUAUAAAAAUUUAUACAAUAUAUUAGUUUUUCCCUCAUAAAGAAAAAGUAUUGUAUAAGUUUUAUUCAAUAGUUGCUCUCAACUGUGUUUGUUUUUUUACAAGAGUUGCUCUCAAUUGUUGAUGGGUUGUUAGGUUUUAUAAUUGAUGCAUGGGAGAAUGACUUGCAUUGGAGUCGUGGGUGGGUCACACAACAAUUUGACAUCUUUAGAAGUUAGAAAUUUUAUUAAUACUAAUUUCAAUGUGCAUCUUUCCCUUUCUUAUGAAAGCGACCAUCACUAGCAAACAAAGUCAGUUUUUCCACACCGCAUGUUUUUUCUUCUGAAACAUAAUUACAUUCUUGCACCUCAGAUUUCGUAUCAAAGAUAACUAAGCAUAAACAAUUAUUUGCAUUAUCAGUAAGCUUAAAAAGCAUCUCAAAGGACGGUCAUUCAACGAAAUAAAGGUUAAAGAUGCAUCAUGAAAGAGACGUAUACUUCCCCAAUAAUAUGUAGCUAGUUAUAUAUUAUAUAUCCUUCCCUCAAAAAAAAAAAAUUAUUAUAUAUCCUACACCCUAAACCCUAAAACACUAUAUAUUCACCCUAAACCCUAAAACACUACAUAUAUUUGAAAAGUUUCUAGUGUUACUUUGGUAGUAUUAUUAUACUAGUACUAGUAUUAUAAUGCAUAACUUUUUUUAAAGAGGGUAUUUAAUAUAUAACUAGCUACUAGUAUUUUUUUUUUUUUUUUUUAUUUCAAAAAGGAAUAGCGAUAUCAUUAAACAACUAUUUCCCCUAUAAAAAAAUUAUUUGGAUUUGAUGAUAUGCGAUUUUUUUCUGUAAAAAAAUAAUGUAAUAGGAAUGCAAGUUGAUAUGUGCAACUAUUUUAUGAUAAUAUGAAUUUUGCAAAUUUCAAUUUAAAGAGUAAAUAUGAUGUCACAAUAAGAAUAUUUCGGUUGAUAUUACAUCACAUUUUAGACGAAGAGUUGAGAGUUGGGAUUCUAAAAGCUAAAGCAUGUAUCUAUAUAUAGGAAAGAAUUUCUUUUCCUUUUUUGAUGAAAAAAGGGCAGCAGCACCUUUGACUUUAAAAUGAUAACGCCAUUUAAUAACUAAUUAAAGAACAUCACUUUUCUUUAAAAUAAUCUGUCCACACAUUUAAGAUAUUGUUAGAUUCUCCUUUCAUUUUUUAUUCGUCUUUUCUAAUUAUACAUUCUUUUCUAAUUAUAUCCUUCAUUUUUUUACUAAUACUUGUAUCCUUCAUUUAGACUGUCAUGUUUAUAAUUUAUUUAUUUUAACAUAAUUUAAUUUAAAAUUUUCAUUCAAAAGAUUAGUUAAGUUUUAUUACAAUAAAAAGUUUUCACUUCAAUAUAUACAACAUUAGACAACAUAUAUAAAUAGAUUACAUUUUUAUCUUAUUUGCUAAAAUAAUUUGAGUGCCAAUAGAAAUUAUAAUUCAUUAUACAUACACAACUGAAAGUUUAAUAGAAAUUUCUGUUAUGAAAAAUGCUAACAUAUGUUCAUGUUAAGGAACUACAAAUAAAAUUGAUCAUAAAAUUAUAGUUAAUUAUUCAAAUUUUUGAAUGUACACAAAUUAUUGGUUUUUAUAAUAAUAUUUUAACUUUUGAGUUCUUUAAUAUAUGUGCUUGUAUGGCACAAUUUAAUAAAUUUUUUAAUACAUAUAUUCAAUAAAUGUUAGUAAUUAAUUUCGUAGAUUAAUAUUUAAUUCUUUCUUUGGGUUUAAAUUCAGAAUUUUUUUUUUUGGUCUUAGAUAAAGUGAUAAACUACUUAAAUUUAACACACACACAACUGUGAGUUUUCAGGUUCGAAGUCAAUCAUGAUGUUCUACCUUGCAAUUUCGACAUUUGCCAAUUGAGCUAAGACUUCUAUACUAAAUUCAGAACCUUUAACACAUUUUCUUUUAACUAAAAUCAGUUGAGCCAUCUGCAUGGACGGAUCCAAUUCAUGGAAUAAUGUGGUUAUAUAUAGCCCCACUAGACUUUCCUAGUGGCAGAGCUCUUAAGGAGCCUAAGGGAGCAGUGGCUCCCCCCAAUAUAAAAAGUUAAAAUAAAUUAUAUAGAAAGAUACCAAAAUACAUCUCAUAUUUGGAGAAAAUUACUAAAUCCUCAUUCAUUUGGUUUCUCCGAUUGGGUAAAAUUGUAUAUAACAUUUAUGUUAUAGGUAUUUCACUCCACCUAAUAAAGUUGUAUAUGCCCUUUAUGUUAUAAGUAUUUCACUUCCUCUAGUAUUUCACUGAACUUUCCCAAAAAAAAUUACAUAUGAAGGAUCUCUUUUAUAACAAGUGAAGGAUGAGCAUUUUUUUUCAAAAUAAUAGAGUUACGACUAUCUCAAAUGUGUGAUGUCAUUUCAUUAUUAUUAAUAAAAGGAAAUCUAGAAGAAAGGAAUGUCAUGCAAGUGCGGAACAUCUUCUGUGAACUAAAACCAAUAGCAUAGUACUAGACUACUAAUACUUCAAUAAUUUAUCUAGCAAAAGGUGAGGGCCAACCCUUCAUCUAAAAUUUCAUACGCUUAUGCUCACAAUCACUAGAUGUUAUGUCGGUAAUAGAUCAAUCAAUCACUUGGAUGAUAACAACAUCAAUUAAUAUCAUAAAUUUAAUAUUUUAAUAUAUUACUUUAGGCAGAUUGAUAACUUGCAUGGAACCAAACUGAGAACAAGAAGUGCAUAAGAAUGUUAGAAUGUAACGUCAAGUAAACAAUUAAUUAAUUAUAAGUUAUGCAUCCUAAACCAAUAGAUCAACGAAAACAGAAAAACACAGCACCAUACAAAACCAAACCAUAUAUAUCGUUGAUUUAUACUAUAUACUAUACUUUUAAUCAAAAUAAAGGUUUAAGCAAAAGAGAUGCCGACUAAAAGAAAAGGAAUGAAAAGCAAACACUGACUAGAGAGUGGUGGUGCUCGUUGGUGUCUUCAAAAGCCGCACUUAGAAUUGUCUUUCUUUUUUCUUCUUCUUUCUACCACGUUUAUUUUGCCAAAUCAUUUUCCAUGUAUGAACAAGAGAAAACUUUGCGUUAGUAGGUUCCACCCAUGUGAUCCGUCAUUAGGUGCAAUAAGAUGGCCCUUAGCAAUGAAUGUUUAAACAAGAUUAUUUCUUUCUUUACGGGAGCCAAAAGAGCAGCUAAAAAUAAUGAAGAGAAUAGCAUAGUAUGUGAGGCAUCUCAUUAUAUUUAUAUGAGAAAUGUAUGGUUUGGACUCCUGAUUUCCUAAUUAUUUAAGAAUGAAUUUUUAACCAUUAUUAGCCUACUUGACAACAGCAACAAAAAACAAAUAGUAUAAUAUAGCUACACUUGUUUAGGCUAUUAGAAUGGACUAACCUAUAUUGAUCAAUACUCGAACUGGGUAAAUUGUAGGGCUUGAGUUUUAUAUAGUUAACCUGAUUUUUUUUAGGGUUUUUUCGUGUGGGUCUAAAUAAUUUGUUGAAUAUUCAGGUUAGCCCGUAUGAUUUACGGAUCAUUCGUUUAACCCACAUAAGGAAACAUUUCUAAUUUUUUUAAAAAUGUUUCCUUAGGUGGUUUAUUUUCAAACUAAAUAAUAAAAGUAAAAAAAAAAAAUCAAUGAAUCAACACACCAAUAUAAAAGUAUUAAAAAGUUGUAUCAACUUGUUUCGUUAUUUAUAAUUUUAAAACAUAGCAUGUGUAAUUUAUCUAAAAUUAUUUUUCAAAUGGUUUUAGUUUGUGAUGUUUGAAAAAAAAUUAGUUUAGUGUUUAAAUAUAUUAAAAACAUUAUUUAUUAGAGAAAUAAAUGAUUUCCUAAGUACUAUUCAACGACAUUAUCCAUUAGAAACAAAUUAUUCGAAUUAUGUUCAAGUUUCUCAAAGACUCUUUUGAUGCGCUUACACACUUCAACAACGGCUCUCAUUCUCUCCUAUAUAUGAAAUAUACAAAACUUUUAUCAAUUAUUACUAGUGCAAAUACUCUCAAAUUCAAAAGCUCACAAAUACUUACAUGUGCCAAUAUAUAUUCACUUGUUAGCCUUGGCCAUACAUGCUCCAGAAAAGAUCAAGAAUUUUAAUUACACUAUUAAGUUGUAAUUCUGUAGCUUCCCCAAACAGCAAGAAAUCAUAUGCAAACAUAAAAUGUGAUAUCAAUGGGCCCGUUUUCCACUCACCUUCUGCCACAACAUGGGAAAUAAGAUAAGAAGGUUAUCCAUACACAUAACAAAUAAAUAAGGAGAAAUGGGAUCCCUUGACGGAUACCUCUCUUAGGACUGAAAAAAUCAACUCUAGCACCAUUUCAUUUGACAAAAUAAUAUAUUUCCCCUUAUCAAAUGUUUUGGAAAUAAGAUAAGGGGAAAUAUUGUCCACACUAGUUACAAAGUGCAUAAUAACAUCAACUAAUUUAUCACGUAACUUGAUCUUUGUUAAAAUUCUCCAAAUAAACUCCCUACUCCCAACUCAACUUCCCUUUAAUUUAAUCUUAUUCAUGUUGUGAAUCAUUUCUUGCACCACCACUAUGUUUUCAUGAAUGAUUCUUCCUGGCAUAAACCUCAUUUUGAUAGGAGACACAAUGAUGGGAAUGCAAUCCAUAAGUCUUUCCACAAUCACCUUGCUAACCACUUUGUAAAUUGUGUUACAAAGAGAUAUAAGAGGGAAUUGGUUUACAAGUUCUGGCUGAGCUAUUUUUGGAAUCAAACAAAUGUUAGUUUGAUUCACCAUAGAUAUCUCACUAGGAUCUGUCACACCUUUUUAACAAAGUCACAAACAUUCUUCCCCACAACAUCUCACGUCUUUUGGAAGAAACUUGCACGGAAGUGCAUUCUGUUUUAAAAUGAGCGUCAUUUUAUCAAAAAAAAUAUAUUCUACUUUAAUUUAUAAUGAUGAUAAGAAAUGCGUCAAAAGUAUAAAUUUUAGUCAAACUGUCGUGUUUUUAUUUAACAUUAGGCAAAUUCUAUGGUACACCUAACAAUUUGAGUGUAUUGGAACACCAAAUCCUUAAAUUAAUAGUUAAAUGAGUUAUUUUUUAUAGGAAAAAAUUAUUUUCUAUCACCUAUGAUUAUAAUAACUAAAUCUUAUUCACCAAAAUCAUCAACGCAAUAAAAUUUGAUUUUUAUGAAUUCUUAUUACUCAUAAUAGAGAAUUUUGAUUAUUUUUUACAAUAAAAUGUAAAAAAAAAAUUAGUAUGAUUUUUAUAAAAAAUGAAAUGAUGUUUUUUCUUAUAAAAUGAUAUUUUCUAAAAUAUAUAUGUCAACAAACACCUAUUUUCUUCAUAAAAAAUUAUAGUUAAUUUAUAAAAAUUGUAACCGAGAGUACCGGUACACCGUAAUUUACAUAAUAUAUAUUUUUUUAUGAGUUUGUUUACAUUUUUAAAUAUGUAUGUAACAAUUUUAAAACGACAUUCAUUUUAAAAGAAAAUGAGCAUUAUAUAAUUUCAUUUCAUGAAAAGAAUGUCAUGUUAGUGCGGAACAUCUUCCGUGACCCAAAACCAAUAGCAUAGUACUUCAAUUAUUUGUCCAACAUAAAGUGCGGGCCAAGUGGCCAACCCUUCAUCUAAAUUUUCAUAUGCUAACGAUCAGCAUCACAAGCGGUUAUGUCGUUAAUGGAUUAAUCAAUCUCUAGGUGAUCAUCAAUUUACAAGUACAUAGAGAGGAUUUUCUUUUGAAGGAAAGUACAUAGAGAGGAUCUCUACAAGUAAUUUACAACAUUGAUUAUCAUUCAAAUCUCUAAAAAAAACUAUUAUCAUACAAAAUGUAUAUUAUUAUUUGAGAAAAGUUCAUGAUUGUUCUAAAGACACUUUUUAAAAUCUUAAAUAUUAAGUUUUUAUAAAGAUUGAAGUAUUUUUAAGAAGUAAUUUUUUAAUUUAAAAUUAGUAAAGAUUAUCCAUCGGAAGACACUCGCUAACAUGACAAUUAUUAUUUAAGCAGAUCGAUUACUUGCAUGCAACCAAACUGAGCACAAGAAUUAAGGAAUCAAUUAAUUAUAAGUUAUGCAUCCUAAACCAAUAGAUCCCAAUGCAGAACAAUACAACACCCUACAAAACUAUAUUAGUUAAUUAUUACGUAAUACUCAUUCCGGUCCUAUAUAUAAAAGAAAGUUAGGUCAAUAAAAAUUGAUGUAUUUGAUUUAAAAUUUGGACCAAUAACAUCAACUUUUAUUUGUUCAACUUUCUCUUAUAUAUACUAUCGAAGAGAGUACUAUAUUAAUUAAAAUAAAAGUUUAAGCCAAAAAGAUUGUGUCAUGUUAUGCCUUGAAAUCACUCAUUUGCAUCUUUUUUUUCUCUUCUUUUAAUCUAAAUAAGUGAUUUUUACAUAGAUAAUUUAUGUCCGUGUUUUUUGUAAUUUCGUCGUAUAAGUGUGACAUUGUUUGAUUUUUCGUUUUUGUGUGAUAUUCAACAUCGUUUGAUUUUUCGUCUAUGUGUCGUGUCCACUCACUUUAUCUUGAAAGAUCAACUUUAAUCAAUUACAGAUUCAAUCGAUGAUUUGAGCAUCAAUGUUAUCAUAUUAUUUAUAGACAUUUUGCUCUUGUAUAUUAUUAACUUAGAUUUUUUUUUUUUAAGGAAUUAACUUAGAUGUUGUGAGUUUUUUUCGCAGAUUCAUUCUUUUUAUUUUUAACGUCGUAGAAUUUAUGAUCGUAUUUGAUUACUUUAUCAAUUUAAAUUAAUGAAUUGUGUUUUCAAUUUCAAAACAAAAGGAAUGAAAAGAAAAGAGAUGCCAAAGAAUGGUGGUGCUCAUUAGUGAACUUGGCUAUGAAUACGGCGUAUCAACGUAGACUUGGCCCAAGGUAGAUCUUCGGUCUUACUAAUGUUGAAAUUAUAGGCUUCUUUGCAAUGUAAAAAUUUCAUUUUUGCUCAUUAUAUGUGAUGAGAGUAACAAUGUUUAAGGUGAAUAAGUGAGGGUUUAAGUCCCUUUUUGCACUACUGAUUUCCAUGUGCAUACACAUAAAUAUACAUAUAAAAUAUAAAGUUAAAUAUGUUUUUGAUCCUUAUAAAUAUACAAACUUUUCGUUUUAGUCCCUCUAAAUUUUUCCUUCAACUUUUAGUCCCUAUAAAAUUUUCAAUCACUACUUUUAGUCCUUAUUUUUAAGUUAAUUUUUGUAUUUUUUAAUGAAAUUGUGCAGAAAUUUAUGAGAUAUUGUAAAAAUCACUCCCAAAAAAAAUUAGAUUUUUUUAACAAAACAUGAAUUAAAUAUGAAAUUUUUACCGGCAAAAGUAUAAAAAUUCAUAUUUGAUUCAUGUUUUGGUAAAAAAUUCUAAAUUUUUUUGGGAGAGAUCCUUAUAAUAUUAUACAUUUUUCUGAAAUUUUUUAUUUAAAAAUAUGAAUUCUACAUAUGAGUUUACUUUAAAUGAGGGACCAAAAGUAAAGUUUGAAAAUUUUAUAGGGACUAAAAGUUGAAGGAGAAUUUUAGAGGGACUAAAAUGAAAAGUUUGUAUAUUUAUAGGGACCAAAAACAUAUUUAACCCUAAAAUAUAUUUAUAUGUUAUUGUUCACAAGUUUUAACUCAACUAAUAAAGACGCCGAAAUUGUUGGAUCAGAUGUUAUGAAAGUCAAGUAGAAUGUAUUGGAAAGUAGAGAAAAGUAGAAUGUUUAAUUUUAUGAAAGUCAAAAAGUUGAUGUUUUUAAUGAAAAAAUUCUAUUUCUAACUUUCCUAACUAGUGCAUAGGAGGCACAAGUUAGCAUGACCUUGAAAAAAAAUUGGGAUUAUAAGGACAAUUUAAAUUUACCAUGAAGAAAAUGGUUUUUUCUAGAUUACCCUCUCUUGUUUAGAGCGUAUUUACCCUCUCAUGAUAUAAACCAAUCAAAAUGUAAUAUAUAUUGACAACAUUAAAUGUCAUAAAUGAGUCAAUUUUUUCUAAAAAAAAAAUCAAUUAUAAUCAUAAGGUAACUUUUAAUACUUUUAAUUUUUAUUUAAUUAUAGACAUGAUUACAUUAGAGGUCCUUUUUCUUAUUUAUUUGUAACACUUUGGUCCUUUAUCUUUAUUUUUUUCGUUUAGGUCUUUUAUCUCUUAUAAAAGCACAUAUACAUCAUUUUUCUCAUUUUUUUUUAAAAUACAUAAUAUUAUUAUUUUUUAAAUAUAUUUUUAUUAAAAAUGAAAAAAAUCUAGAAAUAUGAUGAAGAUGUUCAUCAUCUUCAUCUUCUUCCUUUGAAUCUUCAUCAUCUUCAUUGAAUCAAAAAAAAAUUCUACACAAAUAUAUCUCCAAAUAUCAUGAAUUAAUGUUAUAUUCACCUCAAAUCUUCUUUUAAACACAAAAAUCAAAACCAUAUACAAAAAGAUAUUUAGUUUCAUCGAGAAAAAAAAAGAUUGUCACACCGUAUAUUAUUAUUAUUAUUAUUAUUAUUUUCUAACUCAAUAUUCAAACCCGGCAUAAAAAUAACCCCAAAAUUGAGAGUAGCUUUGCACAUCAAUUUUGUUGUUUCUGAACAAUCUUAACUUUCGUAAAGCCUAAUCCUUCCGCCAGUGACUAAGCCUCCACCAUCCGCCUUGCAACAUUUGUGAAAUUAAUGUUUUGAUUUUUGUGUUUAAAAGAAGAUUUGAGGUGAAUAUAACAUUAAUUCACGAUAUUUGGAGAUAUAUUUUAGUAGAAUUUUUUUUAUUUAAAGAAGAUGAUGAAGAUUCAAAGGAAGAAGAUGAAGAUGAUGAACAUCUUCAUCAUAUUUCUGGAUUUUUUUUUUUCAUUUUUAAUAAAAAAAUGAGAAAAAAAUGUAUAUGUGCUUCUAAGAGAGAUAAAGGACCUAAACGGAAAAAAAAUAAAGAUAAAGGACCAAAGUGUUACAAAUAAAUAAGAUAAAGGACCCAUAAUGUAAUCUUGCCUUAAUUAUAUUUAGGUGUUCAAUCUUAAUUAAUUUACACUACAUGACUGGCUUAGAACAAUUAAAAUUUCACAUCAAAUUUCUUUCAUCUGAAUGUCCUUAAAUUUAUCAGUUAUAUUCAUAAAAUUUCUUCUUCCCAUUUUGAUUGUUCAAUUUUGUCGUUCCCAACUGUCACACUUUUCAAUUUUCGUGAGAAUCGUCGUCGUUUGUUUGAUUCCAAAUAUCGUGAGAAUUGUCGUUAUUUCCAGUAUCACGUCAGGUAUGGUGACUUGAUUUUUCUUGGUUGUAAUGUAGUUAAUUAUAACAAUUGAGUAAGUCAUCUGUUGUACUUUGAGGGUUGCUAGCAGGUGUUGCCGCUGUGAUGUUGUGGGAGUCUACUAUAUAGCAUUUUUUUGGAUGCUGCUAAAAUGAUUAUGUGAUGAGGCUUUUGUUCUUUUGUUUGGACUUAAAGACUUUGGCUACCAGUGAGAUAGGUCUAGGACCCUUUUAAAUUUGCAUACAUAUUGCUUGUAAAGUAUUCAUUAAUGUGAAUUAUAUAAUACAAUUUUAUUUUGUAUAUCAUGGGUUACACAUUAAUGCAUACCAUAUCCCAAACGGUCAACAUGUCUUCUUCUCAUGUUGCUAGCCAUGAUUUCAAAUGAUGAAGAGUUCUUUCAUCUCCUUUUUGUGCUACCAAAUUAGGGAUCAAUUUGAUAUUUAAGAUAAAUAAUUAAUGAUCGAUUUGAUGGUGAGUGAAAUAAUUUAGGUAUCAUCUUUAUUUUUAAUGAAUAAUUCAAGGAUCCAUGUGACAAUGCAACAAUUUUUAAUGAAUUUCAUUAAAAAAAAUCCGAAAAAUAUAUCAAAAUUUUUGAUCAAUUUCGUCUCUGAAUACAUGACAUCUAAAUUGAUAAUACAUGUUAGCACUUAACAUCACAUGUCUUCACCAUUAACGGUGAGACUUGACGAAGAGAUCAAUUUAACCUAUGUUUGUAAAAUUCAAAAACAUUUUAAUUAUUAAAUAAUUUGCAGACGAAAUUGAAUUGCCUGCAAAUUCAAAUAUGAAAAUACAUAUUCACUCUUCAUAUAUUAGAAAAAUAGGACCAAUUCUCUAUUUUACGACAACCAUCACAAUUUGUAAAUAGUAAUAAUAUGGUAACAUGUAUAACUUAUAGGCAGGCCAAAUUAAGCUCUAUUCAUUGGUUGCCAUGUUGGAUUAUUAUGUGUUUUAGUAUACAAAACAAUGACUUUAAUAAUUAUGACUCACCAUGAGUUUUUUCAAUCAACUUCACCCCUUUGGCUAGCUUGGAUUGGAAUAUUACAUUAUCUUGUGUUUUAGCUUGGAACAUUACAUGUGACUGAAUGUCAUCAUCUGCUAGUAUAGGUAACUAUAUUAAUAUCCGUUGAAAUGUGUCUCAAAAUUGAUGUUGAAGUUUGAAAAAAUCGUGGCACGUUUGCAGGGUAAUGCGACACGAUGGUUCAGUUUUUGGGUCGCCACUGGAAAAAUCGUGGCACGAUCCAAGAGGAACGUGGCACGAUGCAGGAGGAACGUGGCACGAUGCAGGAGAUAAGAUCAAGUAUUGUACUGCUACCAACUCCAUCAUGGCACGAUGCUGCGUAACUUUAGAGUUGAUUGUCUUUGAUUAGGGUUCUCUUGAGGGGUUCUCUUGGGUUGGGAAACAUUGUAAACACUUUGGGUGAGUGAAAAUCAUUGAGUGUCUUGUUCAUAGGUGAGAUUGAGAAAAUGGGUAGAAAUUAGGGUUGUUCAUUGUGAUCUUGUUGAAGCUAAUUUCUUGUAACCCAUUUGUAUCUUUUUGUAAGAACUCUUUGAUAGUGGAUUGGAGAGAUCAAUAUCUCCCCCAUAUUAGGUCAAGUUGGACCGAACUGAGUCAACAAUCUUUGGUGUGUUUGUUUCUCUUCUCUCUUUAUCUUUUGCUUGUGGUUUUGAGCUUUUCACUUUGAUUACUAGAUUAUAUUUAGGUGUUGUUAUUAUUGUUGUUGCUUGUGUUUACUUUAAUAUUAGUUAUUACUUUCCUUUGCUCCAUACAUCAUAGUUUGUAUUGGUGUGAUUUUGAGUCGGUAUUCACAACAAUAUCUAUAUGUACAAUGACACGUAUGUUAUUUACCAAUAUAAGCUUUCAAAACAACUAGUUGAUUGUUUGUAUAUGAUUUUUCUUCCAUCACAUUAAUUGUUCUCAACUACUAUGCAUAUGCCAAGCAAAGUGGCAUUUUGUUUACGAGUUAUUGUGGUAAUAUGAUCAAAGACUACAUAUAUAAGCUAUUGCACCAAGAAGGCAAGAAGUUUGUUUCAAUCUAUAGAUAGUAUAGUACUAUUAUUUUUUGAAGAACAUAUAGUAUAGUCCUAUAGUAUGAGGAUAUUUCUAUGAAUGGUAUUCAUGUGAAUUGUAUGUAUUAUUUAGCAUUCCUAUCUAAUUUGUUUUCCAUACGAGAUCAAAGAAAAUAAUAAUGAUUAAAAAUAUCUAAAUGGAAAAUACAAUUACCAUUCAAGAAAAUAGUGUCCGUGCUCAUUUAUGAAUAUGUCUCAUAAGAAUUUUUAUUCCGUAUGCAAUGUUUUCAAUAAUUUUUUAAAUUUUAAAAAAAACUUUGCAAUGAGUUUUUUUAGAAUAACAAGUAAAAAAAUAAAAUAAACAAGAACACAUAGAACUGGACUCAACUUGGGGUAUCAUGUUUCGACGCUGUCUUCAACUCCAAGGAAAGAACCUACAAAAAUAUCACACUUAACCAUGAAGAGUGUCUGACCUUCGCAAAAAAAUUAGUGCAACAGUUGCCCUCUCUAAAUACGUGUUGAAAAGAAAUGUUAGAAAUAUGGUUAUUUAAACCAAAUACCUUGACCAAUAAAGAAGCAUAUACAUGUGUAUUCUAGUGGUCUAUGUGUUGAAUAAUAUGGAGAACUUCUAAAGAAUUUGUCUCACAAAUAACUUGAUGAUCAAAAUUAAGUCAUGAAAACACCAAAUGACUCAGCAAAAAGUUUAUUCAGGUGCCCCUCGUUGUAAGAGAAACCAAUUAUCAGACCUUCCUGUUGUCAAGAAGUAGACUGCCAAGACCAAUGUCGCUGAAAGCACCAUAGUUACCUUCAUUAAGAUCACCAUGUCUUUAACAGUUGUUAUCCAUUGCUACUAUCAAAGAAUUGUGAUUUUAUUUAAGGUGAUUCCAAAUAAAAAUAAGUGAUGAUUAUAAUUAUGAAAAAUCAUGUAAUUUCAAAGAACACACUCAUCAGUUAUAUUUUCUAGAAGGGAAAUGUUAACUAGUGCCUCCGGAUACUGGUUAAAUUAUAAAAGGAAAUAUUUUUAUGAAAAUUGUGUACUUUAUUUUUUAAAAUUUGAAAAAGUGUUGUUUUUAAUGCUGUCUUUAUUUUUUCUUUUUAUUUUUGACUGUUUAACUAGUGGCCGCGAGUAAUGAUUAACAUAACUCUUUCUAGAAUUGUAGAAUGUUACUCGAUAUUAGUAUUACAUAGAUGAUAUAUAGUUCAAUUUCCUUAAUAAUUAAAUGGUCUACUUUUUUUUUUUUUUUUUUUUUUUUUUUUUUUUAUCUCUAUUAGCACCUAGAACUGAUUUAAAAAAAAAAAAAAAACAAAUGUUGCAUUAAUAUACGUUAUUUUUCAUUUUUCAUUGAACUAGCAUGUUCAUGCUUGAUUCCAAAUGUAACAUUUCUUUCAGGAAAAAAAAUGUAGAAUUAGCAUUUAACUCUAUUGUUUGAUUUUCCAAUUUCUAAUGAAGCACUAUUAAUACGUUAUUGCUAUUAGUACCAAUACAUUAAAUAGAAUUAAAAAUGUGAUAGCCUAAAGAUUGGUUUUGAAUGAAUCAUGUAUGUAGUGCAAUAUGAUUUCUUACAACCUGAAAAGAUAAGAAAUAUACAACUUAUAUGUUGGUGUUGCAGCGGUUAUGCAAUCUUUAUCCCCGUGAGCUUAGCUCAGUUGAUAGGGAUAUUGUAUAUUAUAUACAAGAGCCGAUGUUCGAACUCCGGAUACUUCACUUCUCCACAAUUAAAUUGGGUGAGCUCUAGCCACUAGACUACUUGACUAAAAAAAAAAAUAUACAAUAACUUUAGUAUAAAUGAAGAAUGAUUUUUUUUUAGUAAGUAUGAAUAUGAUAAUAUCUAUAUAAUUAUGAUGGUGUAAUUAAAGAAUUGUGGAGUGUUUUGAUAAUCUUUUAGGUUCGUUGAUUUUUUUUUAAUAAGAACUGAAUUAAUUUUAAUGAUUUUUUUUAUAUAUAAAGCUUAAUACAUCAUUUGAUCUCUUAAUAUAUUAAUUUUAAUAGAGAGGAUCAAGAAUUUUAUGGAAUGUUUGUUUUAUGGAUUCAAAAAUGAAUCCCAAAAACAAGUCUCCCUCAGGCAUAACUUUUAGAGGAAUAACUUUCUUGAGAAAGUGUUUGGAUAACAUUUCUAGUUUCCAAGAAUCUUUAGUUUUAAAUUCUUAAAAGUAAUUUAUAUAUUUUAUUUUCAAGAUCUAUUCCAAAAAAUGUUAAGAGUCCCACAUCGGAUAAGACAUAGCAUGGCAAUGUGUUUAUAAGUGGGGCAAUCCUCACCUCACAAGCCGGUUUUGUGGGAUUGUGUUAGGCUCAACCACGAUUUCUAAGAUGGUGGUAUCAGAGUCUCUUCCAAGAUCCGUUGGACCACCUACUAUCAGGUUUUGUUAUCGGGCCACCCACCAUUUAUGUCCACGAACCAAACUCAAUAGUGCUGGUCGUGAGGGGGUGUGUUAAGAGUCCUACAUCGGAUAGGACAUGACAUGACAAUGUGUUUAUAAGUGGGGAAAAUCAUCACCUCACAAGCCGAUUUUGCGGGGUUGUGUUAGGCCCAACCACGAUUUCUAAGAAAAAAUAGAUAUUGCAAUUAACUAAAACACCCCUUUGCCUAAAAACAAUGAUAAAGAAAAGGGAGAACAAUUAUGUAUAUUAGGUAUAGAUGAAGUUAAAUAUGUGUAGGUGGUGGGAUAAAGCCAAUACUUUUACAUGGAAUCUGAAUUUGUUCUCUAGGAAUAAACUAUUCCCACCUCUGGGAAUUAAAAAGCCUGGCAAUAUGGGGGAAAAAUUCAUAUACGGCUAGGAGUUGUUAUUGGUUGCAUUGAAUAUGGGAGUUUUUAUUUCAAACCUUGGAUUCCAAAAAUAUAUUUAGAAUCCGUGAGACCAAUUAUAAAAAUAGAUGGAUAGUUAUCUAAUUGAUCUAUCCAAUAUUUAUCCAUUUUCCCUUGCAUAAAGAAAUAUAUUUCCAAUACCUGUCAAAGAAAAAUUGAUCAAUCCAAUAUUUGUUUGGACAGACGCAGAAGAAGAGUCCAUUGGAGGGGACCAGUUAUGUUUGGACUAUAGAGGUCAAAUUUUGAAGCAGAGCGUCAUCAUUGGUGACUUAGUAGGCAUGUAACUUAGACCGCCCAAUACAGGAUAUUUUGGUAAUUAACAUGAAAAUAUGUUACUAUUGUUUUUUAGAUGGAAGCCUCAAAGGUAGAACUGGAUCAAAAACAUCCUAUCAUGGAUUCUUAUAAAAAAAAGUCUCAAUCAACUCUGAGCUAAACUCACGAGAAUUACGGAUCUGACAUAAUAUAUAUAGAGGUUUAAAAUAAAUUCAUAAUUAAUUUUUUUAACAUAAAUGAAAAAAACAACAUAUAUAAACAACCUCUACAAAAAAAUCAACAUAUUUUAACGAGUCGAAAGUUUAAAUAUAGUUUAAAAAGGACAUGAAGUUUUCAUCUUGAUUAACUGAACUCUACAACUAUUUAUCAUAAAUGCUUAUAAUUAAACUGUUUUUUUUUUUUUUUAAUUCUCACCUAAAAUUUUGAAACUCUAAUGAACGUUUUGGGACAUAAUCAUGAUCACUGCAUAUACUAUAAGAAUUCCUUAAAUUACUAACUAAUUCAAAAUUGCAGAUAAAAACAAAAUAACAACCUAUGUUUAUUUUUAUUUUUUUUUAAUAACAAACUAUGGUUAGCGUUGCACAUGUUAAAACAACUAAUAGUGGUAAUUUUUUCUUGAAAAACAACAAUUAUAUUUAUUCAAAGAUUUUAUAUUUAAUAUUAAAUGUACAAGUUCCAAUGCAAAAUUUCUAUCUUAAACUUCUUAACAUGUGCAAAUUUUCACAUGAUAGAAAAAACAUUUUUUUAAUAACACUAACAAUAUAACAUUUUAGAAACAAAUUUAUUUAAGAAUAUAACUAAAAUAAUGAAAAAUCCAGUCAAAAAAAAUCAAAAGUAUUCUUUACAGGUUUAAUAAUUUUCUGAGAAUUAUUUAAUUAUCAUUAUUAUGUAUUGGAACUAGUAAAUUUUUGGUCAAAUUUAAUUAUUAUUAUUAUUUAUGGAACCAGUAAAUUUUUGGUAAAAUUUAAUUUAAUUAUUAUUAUUAUUUAUUGGAUUGGAGACUAUAUUAUAUUUUUGGUUAAAAUUAAUUCAAAAAUAAAAUAAAAUUGUUAGUCAACAAGCAUAGAAGAAAAGAAUUAAAAAAAAUAUAAGGAAAACAGUUUUUUUGUUAAAAGAAAUACUAAAAUAGGGGGAUAUCGAUACGAUUUGAUUGGUUGUUACGUUGAAGGUCACACUUAAAAUGCUUAUAUAUAGAAGACAGGGUAUUUGAGAUCUCUCAUAACGCUGGUUGAUUCUUAUCAACAACUUCAAAACAGAAUAUAGGUGAGAAGGUGAGAAGAGUUAGGAGAAGAAGUUGCUUAAAUUUACGGUUUCGCUACCGUCCAAGUGCAACGACAACAACAAUUAUCACCACCACUUACGUUAACAUCAACAAUGGGCAAAGGAGGAGGUGAUCCUAACAAGAUUCAUGACGAUGGUGUUGAAAUCCCAGAAACUGCUCAUCAAAUUAGCACUGGUUUGUAUCUCACACCAUAACCUUGUUUUUUUUUUUUUGUUAAAUAAUUUUUAUAGGUUUUCUAAUCGUUUUAUAUUUAAUUUUGAGAGUUUUUAUUUAUAUAUUUAUUUCGAAAAUUCCCAUGUUUAUGUUUAUGGAGUCCGAGGUUCAUGUCGUUGCUGAAACAUUAUAGUACGACAUAUUGAAGAGGAAGAACAUGACGCACAUGCGGAGUUGCAGAUGCAAUGCAAUCUCUAUGUUUUUGUUUUCCUUUUCAAACCCGGUCAAAUCUGGGAAUUUUCAAAAUUACCCUUUUGUAGUUUACCUGUAUUUCUUUAUUUUACAUAUAAGAGUCAACAUCAACCAUGACUGAAUUUUUAUUCUGCUCACCUGUUUGUGACAUGAUCAAUUAAAUAAUUUUUUAUUUCUGUGCCAAAAAAAAAGAUUUGUUUUGUUGUACGUGUCUAUUAUUAAAAGGAUUUAAUUAAUAUUUAUUGUUGUUGUAUAUUUAUUUUACACAUUAUUGUCAAUCUUUACUAAAAAAGAAGAGUUUAAUGAUGCAGAUUGAUAGUCUAAAACACACAAUCCAUCAAAACAUUUACACUGAUUACAUCAAUAAAUAUUUUUAAUUUAUGUGACAAUUUUAAAUGUUUUAAUAAAUCGUUUGUGUAAAGUGUUUUGAAAAGUCAACUCAUCACCAUUAAACUCAAAAAAAUAUCAUAAGACGCAUUGGUAUAAAACUUGUCAACCAAUAAUAACCUGUGAUAUGUGUGGUUGUGUUUGUUUUAAGAUUAUUAUUCACAUGUUAAUAAAAAAUUUAGAAUAUAUAUACCACAAAGUUAAAAUUAAAUUAGUAAAAUAAAAAACUAGAAAAAAGAUUAGUUAAUUGAAGAAGUGUAUGGUUAUAAAAAAAUAAAAAUAAGAAGUGUAUGGUUAUAAAAAAAUAAAAAUAAGAAGUGUAUUUAAGGGGGUGUGAAUCCGUUUCUUCUCAAGAGUGAAUGAAUAGUCAAAGAAAACUGAUAUUAGGGGCCAGGAAGUCAAAAGGGGGGGUGUGAAGUCGUUUUCUCUCACUAUCAUUUACAAUUAUUUGUAUUUUUUUAUAAUCUUUGCAGAUUCAUGGUUUCAAGUGGCAUUUGUUCUCACUACUGGAGUCAACAGUGCCUAUGUGCUUGGAUACUCAGGGACCAUUAUGGUUCCACUGGGAUGGGUAGGAGGUGUAGUUGGUCUUGUUCUUGCUGCGGCGAUUUCACUCUAUGCUAAUGCUCUCAUUGCUAUGCUCCAUGAAUAUGGAGGGACAAGACACAUUAGAUACAGAGAUCUUGCUGGAUAUAUAUACGGUAAAUAAGGCUAACAAAAUACAUUGGAAUUUUCUUUUUUAUCUGUCAUAUUAUUUUGUUACUGCUACUUAUGUUAAUUUUCAUUUUUUUUUUUUUAAUUGUAGGCAAAAAGGCAUAUUCUAUCACUUGGACUCUGCAGUAUAUCAAUCUUUUCAUGAUAAAUACUGGUUACAUCAUUUUAGCUGGUUCAGCCUUGAAGGUAAGACAAAUUUAUGAACCAUUCAAUCAAAAUUGUAUAUUCUUAAUUUUCUCGCCACUCAAUUUAGUCCUGACAAAAAAAAAAAAUUCAAUCUUUCUUUACUCAAUGUUAUGGAUUAAUUUGAGUAUUAUUUUUUGUAAAGGACUAAAAGACUGCGAGAAAAUUGUAAAGAACCGAAUUGAGUCUGUACUCAUUAGUUUAUAAAUUGUGUUGUAGUGACUUUUUUUUGACACCGGUUUUACGAUUACCGUGUGCAGGCUGCUUAUACCGUGUUUCGAGAUGAUGGUGUACUGAAGCUUCCGUAUUGUAUUGCUAUAGCUGGAAUUGUGUGUGCAAUGUUUGCCAUUUGCAUUCCUCAUCUUUCAGCUCUUGGAGUUUGGUUGGGAGUUUCAACAGUCUUCACCUUUGUUUACAUUGUCAUAGCAUUGGUGCUAUCAAUUAAAGAUGGUAAUAAUAUCUCAUUUCUGUGAUUGCAAAUUAAUCAUUCAUUCACUUGUAGUAAUUAACUACCAUCAGUUAUACACUAGGAUACAGUUUGAAGCAUAUUACAGAAUGUUUAAAUUAUAAAAAAUUCUUAGCUGUUAACUUUAUAAAUCUGAAUAUAUAGUUUGAUUUGAGUUGAUACACAUUUCUACAACUAACCAACAAUACAUUGCCAGGAAUGAAUUCACCUGCUCGAGAUUACGCUGUUCCAGAACAUGGUGUAACUAAAAUAUUCACAACAAUUGGGGCGUCUGCUAGUCUAGUGUUCGCAUACAAUACCGGCAUGCUUCCUGAGAUACAGGUCAGAUAGAAGCUUAUAUAUUUGCAUAUCUUAUUAAGUUUCAAGUUUAAUACAAAACUGAGAUUUAUUUGUUAAUGUAACUUGCAGGCCACAAUUAAGCAACCAGUUGUCAAGAACAUGAUGAAAUCCCUGUGGUUUCAGUUUACCAUUGGACUUGUACCAAUGUACAUGGUUACCUUUGCAGGAUACUGGGCUUAUGGAAAUAAGACAGAAACCUAUUUGCUGAAUAGUGUGAACGGUCCAGCUUGGGUGAAAGCUUUGGCCAAUAUUACAGCCUUCCUUCAAUCAGUCAUUGCAUUACAUGUACAUAAAUCUAAACUAAAUCUUUUGCUACACUUAAAUGUUUUAUUCAAUUUGUGUUUAAUAACCUGUGUUUUAUUUCUGUCAGAUAUUUGCAAGUCCGAUGUAUGAGUAUUUGGAUACUAGAUUCGGGAUCAGUGGAGAAGCAAUGAAAGCUAAGAACUUGUCAUUUAGAGUCGGAGUAAGAGGUGGUUACCUGGCCUUCAACACAUUCAUAGCUGCUCUUCUGCCAUUCCUUGGAGAUUUCGAGAGCCUCACAGGAGCGAUCAGCACGUUUCCGCUUACAUUUAUUCUUGCAAACCAUAUGUACUAUAAGGCGAAGAAGAACAAACUAUCAAUUUCACAGAAGGGCGGCCUCUGGGCCAACAUUGUUUUCUUUAGCCUCAUGUCUAUUGCUGCAACUGUUGCGGCAAUACGGCUCAUUGCAGUAGACUCCAAAACAUACAGUCUAUUUGCAGAUAUUUGAUCAAACUCUUAACUCUUUCAGCAGUUUACUUUAUUAAACUUUUAUAUUCUUUCAGCAAUUAUAAAUGCUUUCAUUGUUGGCUAGAAUUUGCUUGCGGAAUAUUGUAUUAUUGUAUUCUGUUGAAAAGACAACUCUUAGUCAAUAAUAUUAAAGACAGUUCUAACUUCAAAUACACAGGUUUUGACAGUAAUUAAGCAAUGUACAAUGCACAAUGCACCAUAUAGUGUAUGAGUGUUACUCUAUCAGGUUCUGUUGGUCAAGUCAAGUAAUCAAGAAGACAAUAAAAAAAUAAUAUGAGAAUUAUAAGGUAAGUCAAUGGGAAGAGAUAAUUAAUAAUACAUCACUGAACUUAGAGUCAAAAUGUCAAACCCAUAAAACGAGGGGCACAUACUUCCAUGGAUAUUUCUACCAUAGAUUCUCGCAAAUUUUCCCAACUAACUAUACCACAGAGUCAUCUGAUUUUAUUUUAAAACUAAUUAUUGUACUUUAAUUUUUAGUUUAUCCCCAUGUUCUCCUUCUUAUCCCUUUCUUUAAUCUUUCCUUGUGAUUCUCCUUUUUAUCCGAUUUUUAGUUUAAUUUUUUUUAUUGUUUAUCCCUUCAAAACUGAUUUCCUAUUUUGCAAAUAAUAAACUCCGUUUGUUCCUUCUUAUCUUAUUCUAAUGUCGGAUAAGAAAAUACAAAAUUUAUCUUAUAAACAACCUAGUCUUCUAAUGUCAUGUAUUUUCUUUCAUUGUUGAAACAUAUAUAAAAAGCACCAGGCAUGUGCAAAAUUUGAAAUUGAGAUGUAAUGUAAUGUCACCUCAUUUAAUAGCUAAUGCAUAGUGCGUUACCAGACAUCAACUUAACAAAAUUGCUGAUGGAAUUGAGAAGAAUUAUGAGAGGAACUCUAAGGUACUGAGUAUCAUAAAUAAGCCCUAUAAUCUGAAAACCACCAUCCUUUAGGUGCAAGAAACCUAUCUUCGUUCAAUAUUGCUAGAGCAUUUGGAAGAAGCAAGAACCCCUCAUAGUUCACAAACCCAUCUCCCUGCACUGAAAUGAAACCGACCCCAUCAUGUAUAUUGACUCUAAUGAGCAAAGAUUCCAUUUCUAGGGAUAUAAAGAGACUCAUUAUCUCUGAAAUAUACUUGUGUCGGUAUGUGUUGGUAUCGUGUCAGUGUCAAUAUGUGUUAGACAUCAGAUAUGUCUUCGAUGCAAAUUUCAUUAUAAAAAAUUGACUCACAAGUUACAAAUAAUAGUAAGUCAUAUCGUAUAUUACAAGUUUAUAGUCGGUCGUAUUAAAAUGGUUAUUGUUUUAAAAUUGAAGUUCAAUUAGCUAAAAAUCAAUAGAUUUCAACUUUACGCUAUAUUUCAAUUUGAAGCAUAGGAUUCAACUUUACACUCACCAAUACCGAAUUCAGAAACUAUGUGCAAGCCAAUCUCACAACGCACCGUUUUUAUGGUUUAAGAGAAGAAUAGUUGUUGGAUUCGAUCUAAAACCCCCACUCUAAGCAAACCAAAAACUGCCCAAAAUACAUGGACCCAAAUAAUUGUAAAAAAUAGGUUAAAUACAUCUCCGGAUCCUUUAAGUUUCUAAGGUUUUAGAUAGGUCAUUUAAGUUUUGGGUUUGUUUCGGAUAGGUCCUUUAAGUUUCUAAGGUUUCAGAUAGGUCCUUUAAGUUUCGAGUUUGUUUCAGAUAGGUCCUUUCGAAAAACCUCUGUUAAGCCAAAAUUGAUAUGUCCGUUAAGCCAAACUUGAUCUGGUUGGGGAAAAAAUUGACGCUAAGUGUCAGAGAGAACCACCUCACCACUUAAUGGACAUAUCAGUUUUGGCUUAACGGACAUAACAACUUUGGCUUAACGGAGGUUGACAGAAAUGACCUAUCCGAAACAAACUCAAAACUUAAAGGACCUAUCUGAAACAAACGUGAAACUUAAAGGACCAAGGGAGGUAUUUGGCCUAAAAAAUAAAAAGCUUAAUUAGAUUGCUAAAUGAAAAAGAGGUUGAAUUAGAUUUUUUUAUGAUUAUUUUAGAUUUUAUUGUGAUCUCUCGUCUUUUAAAAAUGAUUGUUUCUCUAUAAUCUUUGAGUGAUUAUAAUGAUGUCGUUUGUCGAGCAGCAAACGUCGAGAUAUGAGUGGGAGAUAUUUGCAAACACUUUGACGCUCAAGUUAAUAAGAAAGUAAGAGUUCACGAUGUUGAAAGGGUAGAAAUUGUGUACCUUAUAUUUGUGAUGAAGGGUUUCUUUUUAUAGGCUUAGUUUUGGAGUUGUUGAUCAGUUGAUCAAGGUCGUUACAGAAUGGUGCACCAUCAAUGUCGAGCUCCGUCUAGUACAAGUCGUUGAGGCGUUACCAAGUGGAAGAUUAUGGCUAGCCGUUGGAGGCAUUGAUGAGACAGAAGGAUUCGAAUUGGGUUGACUUGUCUAGUAGAUGUGGGUUAAACUUUGGAAUUAUGAUGAUUGUGUUGGCUAUAUAAGGCACAUAUUAGCUUUAGAAGAGUCACACCUUUACAUUCCAAAACUCUUAAGCUCUCUUAGUUUCAUAUCGUUUUUACUCUUGCACUUGCUAUUUUGAUAAAUUCAUGUUUUUAUAUAUUCUUCCUAUUGUUUAAUGUUUUUAUAUUAUUUUGUUAUAUCUACUAUAAUCGUGAGUGAGUAGACUUUUUAAUCUUAGGAUUGCGGGAGAAAUUCAAUGAUAGAUUUCGUAUAAUUCCAAUUCUUUGUAUUUGUUAUGGGUUACUAUCUUUUAAUCCAAUCUUACUGUUCUUAAUGCUUACAAAUAUGAAUGCCAUAUAUUUGUAUGAUCUUGGAUAUUAAAUGAGGAACUUAAAAGAUGAAGUUUGAUGUUGGACAUACAAAAUUAGACAAUAGAAUCAAAACAUGAAAAAUAGUCUAGGCUUUCAUAAGAGAACCCAACCCAACUUUCUUUCAUAAGAGAAUCAAGCAUAUUAGAUAGAUUGUCACAUGAUUAGAGAGAAAAUCAAUCCGAGUCUCAUAAGAUUAUAUCUUGCUCUUUUCGGUUUGUAAACAACGUAUAUGUAUUCCCUAACACUUAUAGUAUGUUUGGAUGAGCGUUUGAAAUGCUUUUCUCACGUCUCUAUGUAAUAUAGACGUGAAUUUGUAUAACCAACAAAUAGUAAAGUUGAUCAAACAUGCGACACCAUCGUGAUCUCAGUUUUUAAAGAGACACUUAAUCUUUUUUUUUCUCUCUCUUGUUUACAAGUUUAGAUUUCUUGACAUCCACAAUCCGACUUAUGAAAGAUUAUGAAACUAAGCUAGGAUUUGGAUAAUUAAUAAAACCCUCUACAUUAGUUUUGUUAUUUUGGUUGUUAUAUUGUUUUUCCUUUCUAUAUAAUAGGAUCAUCAACACUUUGAUCAGUCAAUAAGAUGAGGAAUAUUUGGAAUAUCUCUAUUAGAUUCUCUCUUUCAUAGUCACAAUACUUUCUAUCAAAUUUUUCCUGAACUUAUUAGUGCUAUAUAUAUAUUUUUGCUUGAAAUAUGUACUACAUUAAUCAUGUGUUUUAUUGAAGGAACAAAACAUCACUGUCACCAUUGAAUCGGUACCAAUUAAGAGCUCACAUUCAUUGCCUUGUUCUUUUCUCUGCCCUCUUUCUAUUUACUCACUUUCUUGUGUCCAAACUUAGUUAAACUUGUCACUCUUGGAUUUGCAUCUUCAAUGGCUCAAAUUACUCUUAUUUCUCCAGCAACUGGCAUAGCUAUUACUGGCAUGUACUACUAAUAUGUUGUCCAAAUUCACAAAUUAUGAAACUCUCUUUGUUUCUUACGUGUUAUUUUGCUAUAUGAUCCUUAAGCAAAAUCAAGUGAUCAUACAUGAAGAAUUGAUCUAUUUGGUUUUUUCAGGUAGGAGGAAGAAACUUGGUGAAAUAUCUGCAAGGUACAAAUUGAGCUCACUAUCACCACAUGUUAAUUGGAAUAUUCAAAGGCAUAUUCCAUGGGUUGAUUUGACUACUUCAUCAAAUUAUUAUUCAUAUGGUAAAAAUAAUACAAGGGCCGUAGUGAAUGUGAAUGUUUCUGAAGGAGGUGCCAUCUCUCUCCCUCAUGGUCAUGGCUGGCCACUUGAAAAGGUUUGGGAAUCUUUUUCAUCUUAACUUACUUUUUCAUCGUAUAACUAAAAGAGAAAUGAUAUUUGUACAACCACUUUCUCAGAAUUUUUAAAUAACUUUCUCUUUCAUACUCACUUUAUAUUCUUACUCUCUUUCCCUUUUUCUCUCUCCAUUGUUUUUGACCAAUGAAAAGAGAGAAAAUGAAGAUUGUCAAAUAGAUUGUACCAAAUGGUUGUUCAAAUAUCAUUGCUCUAACUAAAAUCAUGUAAUUAUUAUAUAGUAUAAAACUUCAAUUUAUUCCUUAAUCGGUGCCGAGGUUAAGUUGAAAGUUGUAAGUCUCACUUUCAACUUAAAACUUUUUUUUUUGUUUUCUUAACCAAUGUCCCGAAACAUCGGUUAGCAUGAUCCGAAAACUUAUUCCUUAACUUUUCUUUUAUUUAAAAAACUUAAAUCAAUAGUUUUUGUACAAUAAUUUUUUUGCAACUUUUGACCCAAUCCAAAAUAUAUCCUUAUCGGUCCCUAAACCUUACACUCCUUUUCAUCCCAAAAAUAUUAAAAGUCCUAGCAGCAUACAUUCAACAUUUUGUAAAUGAAAUCAUAGUAAAAUUUGUUACUGUUUGUAAUGAUAGAUACUUAAAAUUCAAAGUCAAACUUUGACAAAAAAAGGGUAUAUUUCUAUCUCCACCCACCUCCAAAUCAAUCCUAAUGUCCCCUAAAAUUUCCUCUUCCUAGCUAACAAUAAAGAAGUACUUACACUACAAAUCGGGUUUCAACGAAUUUUUGUAUGGUGCCAUUUUUAUUUUUUUUUGGUCAAGUAGCCUAGUGGCUAGAGCUCACACAAUUUAAUUGUGGAGAAGUGGAGUUUCCGGGGUUCGAACCCCGGCUCCUGCAUAUAAUAUGCAAUAUCCCUACCAACUGAGCUAAGCUCACGGGGAUGUGCCAUUUUAAUCUUUGAUAAUACGCCUUUGAAUUUUUUCUUUCUGAUUACUAAUCUCAUAAGAAAUUUCCUAAAGUAACCAAGACAAGACUUAAUAACAUAGUGGCUAGAGCUCACACAAUUUAAUUGUGGAGAAGUGGAGUGUCCGGGGUUCGAACCCCGGCUCCUGCAUAUAAUAUGCAAUAUCCCUACCAACUGAGCUAAGCUCACGGGGAUGUGCCAUUUUAAUCUUUGAUAAUACGCCUUUGAAUUUUUUCUUUCUGAUUACUAAUCUCAUAAGAAAUUUCCUAAAGUAACCAAGACAAGACUUAAUAACAUAGCCAAAAUUGCCAAAUUUUCUUGGACCAACUAAGUUCAUUGCAGUUGAGAUAGUCUUACAUUCACACCGUUAUAUGAUAUUGGUCACCCGAUCUUAAUCAUUUGAUUCUUAAACAUAAAAUCAAAAUAUGUUUCAACUAAAACUGUACGGUUCAUAUUUAAAACCCUAUGAUUUUGUGAUUAUAUGCAUCUAUGCAUCUAUUUACAAUUUUCGUGCAGAAUCAAAGUAAAAUUUACCUCCAAAACAAGAUUUUUUUCUUCUCUAAAGUUAUUCAUGAAAUCCUUUUUCUAUGUUCUCUCAGAGUCAAAAUAGGUUGAAAAGUUUAGAUUGACACAAAUUUUUUCAAAUUUAAGCAUGCUCUUAACAGGUGAUCCAUUUUUAUUUUAUUUUAUCUUUUGUAAUGGAGUACAAUAUCACUUCAAAAAUUAUUAAUGUAAGCAUGUCACACACAUUGAACAAUAAUACACACUAAUCCAAUUUUUGCACCUAAGUUUGACUAUUCCUUUUUUUUUUUUUUUUUGAAUCAGCAAAAUUUUAUUGAAACGAAAACUCAUGCAAGACGCAAAGAGUCGGUAUAAACAACAAUACAAGGAUGCUGCCUAUAGGCGUAACAACCAACCUCCAACACCAAUCCGGCAAGGACACCAAAAAACCAAACUUGACUAUUCCUAAUAAAUUAUUCCUUUAUUUUCAUUAGUGACACUCGUAAGUGUAACACAUGUUUAACGACCCUAGUUGUCCAAAGUCGUGGGGUGAUGAUAAUGGAUCCUACAAUUCAUCUUCUAAAGUUCAUAGAAUUAUUUAAUCUUCCUCAAUUUAUUUUUUACUAAAUCAUUUUUUACUUUAAUUCUUUCAUCUUUCAAUUUUGCAACACUUGUUUAAUUAUCGAACUAUUGUCAUAAUAAUAGUCAAAUUACAAUAAUUUCUUUAGAGGUAUGUGCAAUAAAUGACACCUACAUCCUUUAGUUUUGAAGAAUAUAUCGAACUCCCCUCAAAUUAUACUCUCUUAUUUUGUAAAUAUAGUGGGAGCAUUUAAGUGCAUUUUUUUUCAACAAAUAAAGAUAAUUUGUUUGUUUGUCAAAAAUAAGUCAAAUAGUUGUAUUUGUACCCAAAAAAAGUCAAAUAUGUACUAUUUGGACAUAUGACAUUAACAUGGUAAGUGAAAUUUACCCUAUAAACUUUUUAUAAUUUCUAUAUAAAUCCGUUGACCACACAAUUACAACAAGUGCCUAUAAUAAUUUAAACAUUUUAAUAUAAUUAUUUUGAUUUUACCCCUAGCUAACAUGAGAAAUAAAUUGCAAAAGAACAGUUACGUUUUUAUUAACUAAAAAUCAAACUUAUUUCCAAAUUUAACUUCUACACUUUACACUUUUCUUGAAACCUACAUCACAUCAUAAUUACAAAUGAGACGAGCAAACACAAUUGAAAGAAGAAAAGAAAAAAAAAAAAAAAAUCCAAAUCAACAUCUAUCAUCAUUCAUCACUAAAUUAAAUCCAUUUUCAAUUUCAAAAAUGCUUUUUAUUUUUAAACUAAUUUAAUCUUUAUUUCAUCUAAUAUAAAUGUAUUCUCUUUUCACAUUUAUUAAAUAAUUGUUGUAUAUAAACCAAACCAUAUUAUAAUUCAGAUACAUCAACUAUUCAACGUAUCUGAAAAAGUAAAAUUUAUUUAUAAAUAUGAUCGAAUAAAACAAAUUUUUUAACAAGCACUAUCGAAAAACUCAAUCACACAAACUUAAAGUUUCAAAAUCAUUUUCUAAGGUAACAAUCUCGACAUUAUUAGUUGACCUAAAGAAUCAAUUAUCUAUCAUUAAAUAAGUACAAUAAUACACGUUCAACUUUUUUUUUUUACAUUGAUUAAAAAAAAUCAUUUUAUUUUUGCAAUAAUACACUUCAACUAUAUAGCUUUAAAUAUUCUCACUUAAUUUAUUUCUUCUUCUCUCUCUCUCUCUCUCUCUCUCUCUCUCUCUCAAUAGAUGCUGGCAAACACAUAAACAUCAUAACGCAAGCAUUUUUCUGUUACCAUCAUUCAUCAAAACAAAAACAAAAAAAAAAACAAACUUUUCCUUAAUUCGAUUUCGACCCACCACUCACCUCGUUCUCCUGUCUCUCCCUCAUUCCUUAAUCUCCCCAAACCCCCCCAAGCCAUGGAUUCACAGAUCCAUGGCUUGUUCCGUUAAAGUCAACAACUUUUUCCGUUUUCUUCGACCCAUUUCAAUGCCCAGAUCCAUUACCCUUUUCUAAUCACAAUCAUGAAAUUGUUACAGGUUUCUGAAGAUCAAAAAGGUUCUAAAACAAUGAAGGGUGCUUCAACACGUUUCUUCACAAUAGGUCUUGUAGCAGCAUGGUAUUCAUCCAACAUUGGUGUUCUUCUAUUGAACAAGUAUUUGUUAAGCAACUAUGGUUUCAAGUAUCCUAUUUUUCUCACCAUGUGUCAUAUGACAGCGUGUUCUUUGUUUAGCUAUGUUGCUAUAGCAUGGAUGAAGAUUGUUCCUAUGCAAACUAUUCGAUCCAGGGUUCAAUUCUUUAAGAUCUCUGCUUUGAGUUUGAUUUUCUGUGUUUCUGUUGUGUUUGGGAAUAUUUCGCUUCGAUAUCUUCCUGUGUCGUUUAAUCAGGCUAUUGGCGCGACUACGCCUUUCUUUACUGCCAUUUUUGCUUAUAUUAUGACCUUUAAGAGGGAGGCUUGUCUCACUUAUCUUACCCUUGUUCCUGUUGUUACUGGUGUUGUUAUUGCUAGUGGGGUAUGUAACAUUUCAAUCACCCUUGUUCAUUGUUUUUGUUUUUGCAAUUUAGUAUAUGUAUGAUAUUGUGCAUUGUUAAUUAAUGGGAAUGGUAUGAUAUGGGGGAUUUAUU
rnacentral:lncRNA from 1 species